rnacentral:rRNA from 1 species
UACAGAGGUCUCAAGCGUUGUUCGGAUUCAUUGGGCGUAAAGGGUGCGUAGGCGGCGCGGUAAGUCGGGUGUGAAAUCUUGGAGCUUAACUCCGAAACUGCAUUCGAUACUGCCGUGCUUGAGGACUGGAGAGGAGACUGGAAUUUACGGUGUAGCGGUGAAAUGCGUAGAUAUCGUAAGGAAGACCAGUGGCGAAGGCGGGUCUCUGGG